GAGUGAGCGGUGGAAGCCUCCUCUCCCUCUCUGAUGCAGUCAGCCAGGCAGCCAGGACGGCGGGAGUGAAGCCCAUCACCUCUGCUGAGCGGUUACAAGACGAUCUGGAGACCCAGGAGCUGAAGGAAGCAUAUGCAGAACAAGUUAAAGCUGACAUCAAGAAACGAGUGCGCGAAGACCCAGAUUUCAACCCUCAGCAGACCCCAAACGCUCACAGAGCCUUCUCAUCAGACUCAUAAUCACGUUCAAUGAUACAAAAAACCAUGCAAGACUCUUGCCGUUUUCAUUUGAAUUAUUUUUGGAUCUUCAUUCGACUACCAGUCAAUGCAGCUUCACUCCCGCAGUUAGCAGCUCUCUUAACUAAUUGCCUCAUGCUAAUGUGACUACUUCUCCCAGUGCCUAUUUAUUUUGUUGUGUUUAUUGUGGUCCAACUUCUGGCUGAGAGAACGCUCCUUUAUAACAGGCAACAGAUUUAAGUUUGACUAAAUCAGGUCACUUUACUUUUGUUUGCAUACAUGUGUAUGUUUGUUUGUUUUUGCCCUCAUAUCCUCGUGUUGCUUUGUUAAUAUGAAGCCUGGAUUCUCAUUAUUUAGUGGACUAUAACCUUCCUGUCAAUAUUCUUAACCUUAAGAGUAUAUUUCAUGUGAGAAACAUUCUGAUUGGUACAUGAAUGUACAGUAAGCUUAAUAAAACUCUUGAUACAAUACAAAA